rnacentral:rRNA from 1 species
UACAGAGGUCCCAAGCGUUGUUCGGAUUCACUGGGCGUAAAGGGUGCGUAGGUGGCGAGGUAAGUCGGAUGUGAAAGCUCGGAGCUCAACUCCGAAAUGGCAUUGGAAACUACCUUGCUCGAGGGUUGGAGGGGGGACUGGAAUGCUUGGUGUAGCAGUGAAAUGCGUAGAUAUCGGGAGGAACACCAGUAGCGAAGGCGGCACUCUGGGCCGGUACUGACGCUCAUGCACGAAAGCGUGGGGAGCAAACAGG